AUGAGUUUGUAUCACUGUGGUACACGUUCGGUGGAGGAACCAGACUGGAGGUUGGAAUUUGUAUUACUGUGGUACACGUUCGGUGGAGGAACCAGACUGGAGAUUGGAAGUGAUACUCGCCCCACCCUGACAGUGCUGCCCCCCUCCAGUGAGGACCUGAAGCAGGAGAAGGUUACCCUCAUGUGUCUGGCCAACAAGGGCUUCCCCUCAGACUGGACUCUGUCCUGGAAGCUGGACGGCAGCAGAACUAGCACCAGCUGGGAGGAGAGCAGGAGCUCCGGGGUGCUGCAGAAUGACGGCCUCUACAGCUGGAGCAGCACCCUGAGGCUCCCUGCAGACCAGUGGAGGAAGGUGGGCUCUGUGACCUGUGAGGCCUCCCAGGGCUCCCAGUGUGCAGUCACAGAGACACUGAGGAGAGACCAGUGCUUCUAAAAUGAAUCUGUUGUUGAUUUUACCUUUGCUUUCAUUUUUUCUUAUUACCAGCUUCUUGGUUUCAUUCCAAAUGUGCUUGAUAUUGUUUUGAAGUGGACUGAUUCAAUCUUAUAAGCAAUAAAUGUUUUACAAAUGA